rnacentral:misc_RNA from 1 species
CACAAACCAAUUUCCGCACUUCUGGAGCAGGGUCGUUGGCAAGAAGAAACAAGCCUUGAAGGUAUUUAUCCAUGGAUAGAUGCAAAAUUUUAGGCAUCAGCAUUAUAUAUUGAUUCACAGAACUCAAUGACAGUUUUCUGAGAGAAGCAUGAGGCGACUGGAAAAGCAGGAGAAACCUUGGAAGGAAAACAGUAAUGGGUCGUUCAGAUAAUCCAGAAAUAUCAGAAUCAAGGAGUUGUGGGACAUCCUCGCAGAUCUUUGAUAAAGCAUCCAUGGCUCCUUCCACAUGGUUUACAUCACUACUAUCCAAGCUACUAACAAGUGCCUGUAGCAACUCUGGCCAUCCAGCAACUCCGUCUAUCUGUACAAGAACACUAAUGAUGGUUCCAGCUGUGGACCUAAUGUGUCUAUCUGCUGCCCCUAGAGAAGGUAGCAACUCUGACUUUAUGUAUUGCUGGUUAGCAAGAGGCAUGUUUUGGAAUGCAGAUCUCAGGUUAUUUUUCAAUAGCAACCCAGCUGCUUGCCGAAUGUCAACUGACUUUCCCUCGGCAUGAGCGAAGAUGAAAGCGAGAUAGUUAUUGAAAUCUGGAAACUGAGAGUAGUGUUGAAGUUGUUGCCAAAUCUGAGAAUUAUCUGAAGUCGGAGACAUUUGUUGCUCCAACAAUCCACAGAUCUCCUUGAAACCUUGUUCUUGUG